GAAAAGCACCCCGGAAGGGGAGUGAAAUAGAACCUGAAACCGUGUGCUUACAAGUAGUCAGAGCCCGUUAAUGGGUGAUGGCGUGCCUUUUGUAGAAUGAACCGGCGAGUUACGAUUUGAUGCAAGGUUAAGCAGUAAAUGUGGAGCCGUAGCGAAAGCGAGUCUGAAUAGGGCGUUUAGUAUUUGGUCGUAGACCCGAAACCAGGUGAUCUACCCUUGGUCAGGUUGAAGUUCAGGUAACACUGAAUGGAGGACCGAACCGACUUACGUUGAAAAGUGAGCGGAUGAACUGAGGGUAGCGGAGAAAUUCCAAUCGAACCUGGAGAUAGCUGGUUCUCUCCGAAAUAGCUUUAGGGCUAGCCUCAAGUGAUGAUUAUUGGAGGUAGAGCACUGUUUGGACGAGGGGCCCCUCUCGGGUUACCGAAUUCAGACAAACUCCGAAUGCCAAUUAAUUUAACUUGGGAGUCAGAACAUGGGUGAUAAGGUCCGUGUUCGAAAGGGAAACAGC
rnacentral:rRNA from 1 species